rnacentral:rRNA from 1 species
AGAGUUUGAUCCUGGCUCAGAACGAACGUUGGCGGCGUGGAUUAGGCAUGCAAGUCGAACGAAUCCCAGGGGCUUGCUCCUGGGGGAAGUGGCGAAAGGGGCAGUAAGGUAUGGGUAACCUACCUCGGGGACGGGGAUAGCCUUCCUAACGGAAGGGUAAUACCUGGCGAUCUGGCGAGGAGACAUCUUCUUACCAGGAAAUGAAUUUCGCCUCGAGAGGGGCCCAUAUGGUAUUAGCUUGUUGGUGAGGUAACGGCUCACCAAGGCCAAGAUGCCUAGCAGGUGUGAGAGCACGACCUGCGCCACUGGCACUGUGACACUGGCCAGACUCCUACGGGAGGCUGCAGUCGAGGAUCUUCGGCAAUGGGCGCAAGCCUGACCGAGCGACGCCGCGUGUGCGAUGAAGGCCUUCGGGUUGUAAAGCACUGUCGAGGGGGAGGAAGCCCGCAAGGGUUGACUAAUCCCUGGAGGAAGCACGGGCUAAGUUCGUGCCAGCAGCCGCGGUAAGACGAACCGUGCGAACGUUGUUCGGAAUCACU